rnacentral:rRNA from 1 species
CAUCUGACCUCAAAUC